UCUAAGGAAUAUUACGGAGACUACACUGGUUGUUUUAUACUUUGUUCAGUUUUGAGAGGUCUACUCAAUAAUUGAAGAGUCAGGUUUUGACUUUGACAUUAGAGGAUACUCUCAAGAGAAUACUUUGUUCAUUGAAAACUGGAUAUUUGAAGUAAAUUAAGUAAUACAAACCGAGAACACCGCGUUGAAUGAGUUUUUUAAUAAGUUCAAUUGCUUAUUUUCUUGAUCGGACUUCUAUCGCUAGAAGAAAGAUCAAAACCCAACCGCAAGGUUGAUAAGGUUAAGUGAAUAAGGGCGCACGGUGGAUGCCUUGGCACUAGGAGCCGAUGAAGGACGGGACUAACACCGAUAUGCUUUGGGGAGCUGUACGUAAGCUAUGAUCCAGAGAUUU
rnacentral:misc_RNA from 1 species